CCCUUAGAUGUUCUGGGCCGCACGCGCGCUACACUGACGAUGGCAACGAGUUUUUCCUUCGCCGAAAGGUGUGGGUAAUCUUUUGAAACAUCGUCGUGCUGGGGAUAGAUCAUUGCAAUUUUUGAUCUUGAACGAGGAAUUCCUAGUAAGCGCGAGUCAUCAGCUCGCGUUUAUUACGUCCCUGCCCUUUGUACACACCGCCCGUCGCUACUACCGAUUGAAUGGUUUAGUGAGGACUCCUGAUUGGCGCCGCCGCCCCGGCAACGGAGCAGCGGACUGCCGAAAAGUUGUUCAAACUUGAUCAUUUAGAGGAAGUAAAAGUCGUAACA
rnacentral:rRNA from 1 species